rnacentral:lncRNA from 1 species
GGCAGAGAUGAGCACAAUCAGCUCUCAUAAGUUGGUGUGAGCCAGCUGAGGAAGGACGUGGGCUGGAUGGGAGAAACCUUAUUCCUAUAGCAAAGGGGCUGGAGCAGGCAGUGGGUUUCCUCUCUCUGCAAGUUCACCUGGGCAGAGCCUGCUUCCUCAGCUUUGGGCCACUUCAGUCUUUUCUCCACCCCAGAUGUUUAAGUGGCUCCUACAGCUGGAAGAUCUUUCCCCACUGGCAGCAAGAGGGGAGGAUGGCAUCUGGCAGAUCCUGAUUUACAUUAUUCCAGCUCCCUGACCUAAAAGAUAAAACCUACCCCUCCUCAUUUAAUAAAAUCAGAAGGAAAAUGCAACCAGAGAAUAAAAAAAAGAAAAU